UCCCUCCUGUGGUCAAUAGGUGUAUCCGCAUUAAUGAAAUAAACACGCACAGGGUGGACGCACAGUCAGUCGAGUGAACACUGAAUACAGAUUAAGGGGAUUUCUAUGAUAUUCCAGGAUAUUUUACAACACAUUUGACUUUGUGAUUGUCUCGGCCAGCAGAAGAUCGAGAUCAGCUUUAACCUGAUGGAGUAAAACAGGUGAACUGGAAAGCUCAUGUAAACACUGGCAGCGAUGAAUGGACAAUCCUCCGAGACUCUGGUAAUGAAGAUGUAAAGCUCUGAGUCUCUGGAUGGUUCAGGAUGGAUGAGUCUCUGGCUUCUACAGACCUGUGAUGACCAUUCAUUUCCAGCACAGGUUAAACCACAGUCAAACUUCAUGAGGACUGAUCAUUCAUCAUGCAUUUACGGAUGUGUCGGUUAAACGGUUUUGGUGUUGUCGUGGCAACAGGCGACCGUCAUGAAGCUGAGACGCAUACGCCGCCUAGUGGACCUGAUGGAGAACUGCGUUUGCUGGCAAUACUCCAUUACUUUGUGCUCUGGGCAAAAUCAUUUGACGAGACAUAAGUGUGAGAAUUGGAGAUUCAUAUUCAUAAAUUGGCAUCUAAUCAAACUAAUCUCUGAUUUAUUUAUUCAGGAGCAGAAUCAUGUUGAGUGAACGCAUCAAAACUGGACAAAAUAUCUUCUAGUACUCUUUUAAUGUGUCUUCGUGUCAAGUUUGUUUCACUUUUGUCUUUGAUGAUGUUAAUCACUUGGUUGACUAAUUUAAGUUGCUGAAUCACUGUUGGCAGAUUUAAGCAGCAUUUGUAGUAAACUUUGACUGAUUACUGAAUGCAUACGACAUGUUUCGACAAAUAAAGUCUGUUAUAUAAUGAAUAUUAAUCAUUUGUUUGCGUUUAUAACAUCAGCUUUAUUUAUUACAGAAAGAUGCAUUAGGGUCAGAUCAGUGUUUCAGCUCCAUCUUGUGGACAAUAAGUGGAUCUGCAUUAAUACUUGAAACUGAAUUACUAAGACAUUUUUUCCAUUAGGAGAAAUCCUGAUCCUGAAGAUCCACUUUCCAGAGUGAAGCUCCAACCUGAUGAAAACACCUGAGGCUUUUAAUUAAGGACUUUCAGCAAACGAGAAGCUUCAAGGCAAAUGUGUGACAAACUCUGUAAUUCAGAUGAUGAUAAUAAAAGAUUGAUUUGACUAAACUGAUGAUGCUUUUACAAAUCGUGUAUGUGUUUCACUGUGAGUUUGAGUUAAUAAAAAGUGAUUUAAAAGUA